GGGUCAGUAGGUUGGUCGUGCCACCGGUACGUACUGGUCUCACUGAUUCCUCCUUCCUGAAGAACCGUAAUGCCAUUAAUUUGGUGUUGCGGGGAAACAGGACUGUUACUUUGAAAAAAUUAGAGUGUUUAAAGCAAGCUAACGCUUGAAUACGUUAGCAUGGAACAAUGAAAUAGGACGAUCGAUCCUAUUUUGUUGGCUUCUAGGAUUGACGUA
rnacentral:rRNA from 1 species